UUUGCUGCUGCAGCAGCUGCUGCAGCAGCUGCUGCUGCAGCUGCAGCAGCAGCAAACAGAGACAAAACAUAUUUUUAUU
rnacentral:snoRNA from 1 species